GCCUGGCUGGCUUAGUCAGUAGAGCAUGUGACUCUAGAUCUCAGGGUUGUGAGUUUGAGCCCCACAUUGGGUG
rnacentral:tRNA from 1 species